rnacentral:rRNA from 1 species
AGUGGCGACCGGGUGAGUAACACGUGACUAACCUACCUUCGAGUGGGGGAUAACCUCGGGAAACCGAGGCUAAUACCGCAUAACAUCGCAAGAUCAAAGCAGCAAUGCGCUGGAAGAGGGGGUCGCGGCUGAUUAGCUAGUUGGCGGGGUAACGGCCCACCAAGGCGAAGAUCGGUAGCCUGCCUGAGAGGGCGCACGGCCACACUGGAACUGAAACACGGUCCAGACUCCUACGGGAGGCAGCAGUGGGGAAUUUUGCGCAAUGGGGGAAACCCUGACGCAGCAACGCCGCGUGGAGGAUGAAGCCCCUUGGGGCGUAAACUCCUUUCGACCAAGACGAUAAUGACGGUACUGGUGGAAGAAGCACCGGCUAACUCUGUGCCAGCAGCCGCGGUAAUACAGAGGGUGCGAGCGUUGUUCGGAAUUAUUGGGCGUAAAGGGCGCGUAGGCGGUGCGGUAAGUCACCUGUGAAAUCUCCAGGCUUAACUUGGAGUCUGCAGGCGA